GCCGAUGAUGACAAGUUUUAUGGCUGACAUCGAGUUCUUGUACUCGAUUCGUGCUGAAAAUUGCAAGAACUAGGACGGUCUGAGGC